rnacentral:rRNA from 1 species
GAUGAACGCUGGCGGCGUGCCUAAUACAUGCAAGUCGAGCGAACGGACGAGAAGCUUGCUUCUCUGAUGUUAGCGGCGGACGGGUGAGUAACACGUGGAUAACCUACCUAUAAGACUGGGAUAACUUCGGGAAACCGGAGCUAAUACCGGAUAAUAUUUUGAACCGCAUGGUUCAAAAGUGAAAGACGGUCUUGCUGUCACUUAUAGAUGGAUCCGCGCUGCAUUAGCUAGUUGGUAAGGUAACGGCUUACCAAGGCAACGAUGCAUAGCCGACCUGAGAGGGUGAUCGGCCACACUGGAACUGAGACACGGUCCAGACUCCUACGGGAGGCAGCAGUAGGGAAUCUUCCGCAAUGGGCGAAAGCCUGACGGAGCAACGCCGCGUGAGUGAUGAAGGUCUUCGGAUCGUAAAACUCUGUUAUUAGGGAAGAACAUAUGUGUAAGUAACUGUGCACAUCUUGACGGUACCUAAUCAGAAAGCCACGGCUAACUACGUGCCAGCAGCCGCGGUAAUACGUAGGUGGCAAGCGUUAUCCGGAAUUAUUGGGCGUAAAGCGCGCGUAGCGGUUUUUUAAGUCUGAUGUGAAAGCCCACGGCUUAACCGUGGAGGGUCAUUGGAAACUGGAAAACUUGAGUGCAGAAGAGGAAAGUGGAAUUCCAUGUGUAGCGGUGAAAUGCGCAGAGAUAUGGAGGAACACCAGUGGCGAAGGCGACUUUCUGGUCUGUAACUGACGCUGAUGUGCGAAAGCGUGGGGAUCAAACAGGAUUAGAUACCCUGGUAGUCCACGCCGUAAACGAUGAGUGCUAAGUGUUAGGGGGUUUCCGCCCCUUAGUGCUGCAGCUAACGCAUUAAGCACUCCGCCUGGGGAGUACGACCGCAAGGUUGAAACUCAAAGGAAUUGACGGGGACCCGCACAAGCGGUGGAGCAUGUGGUUUAAUUCGAAGCAACGCGAAGAACCUUACCAAAUCUUGACAUCCUUUGACAACUCUAGAGAUAGAGCCUUCCCCUUCGGGGGACAAAGUGACAGGUGGUGCAUGGUUGUCGUCAGCUCGUGUCGUGAGAUGUUGGGUUAAGUCCCGCAACGAGCGCAACCCUUAAGCUUAGUUGCCAUCAUUAAGUUGGGCACUCUAAGUUGACUGCCGGUGACAAACCGGAGGAAGGUGGGGAUGACGUCAAAUCAUCAUGCCCCUUAUGAUUUGGGCUACACACGUGCUACAAUGGACAAUACAAAGGGCAGCGAAACCGCGAGGUCAAGCAAAUCCCAUAAAGUUGUUCUCAGUUCGGAUUGUAGUCUGCAACUCGACUACAUGAAGCUGGAAUCGCUAGUAAUCGUAGAUCAGCAUGCUACGGUGAAUACGUUCCCGGGUCU